rnacentral:rRNA from 1 species
UGGGGAAUUUUGGACAAUGGGCGAAAGCCUGAUCCAGCCAUGCCGCGUGCGGGAAGAAGGCCUUCGGGUUGUAAACCGCUUUUGUCAGGGAAGAAAUGUUCCGGGCUAAUACCUCGGGAAGAUGACGGUACCUGAAGAAUAAGCACCGGCUAACUACGUGCCAGCAGCCGCGGUAAUACGUAGGGUGCGAGCGUUAAUCGGAAUUACUGGGCGUAAAGCGUGCGCAGGUGGUCAUGUAAGACAGAUGUGAAAUCCCCGGGCUUAACCUGGGAAUUGCAUUUGUGACUGCAUGGCUAGAGUGUGGCAGAGGGGGAUGGAAUUCCGCGUGUAGCAGUGAAAUGCGUAGAUAUGCGGAGGAACACCGAUGGCGAAGGCAGUCCCCUGGGCCUGCACUGACACUCAAGCACGAAAGCGUGGGGAGCAAACAG